UUCAUCCUUCUUUACCUGUCAUAUACUUCGACAGUUGCAAAGAAAUAAGGGAAACGCAACAGCAUGCUGACAAUGAUUCUUUUGCUACUGACACAUUGAUUGUGUCAAAGCGAGCCCUUGAUUAGAGGAGCCUGCGAACAGAGGACCCUCCAUUGACCUGUAUACACAAGAUUCCUUUAUAAUUGAGAUUUCUUUCUAGUUGGCGAUUGAAAUGGGUCUCUGUAUUUGUCUGACGAAGGAUCCCCUGCAUACUUAAAACCUUGGGAGACAGGGC